rnacentral:rRNA from 1 species
CCUACGGGUGACAGCAGUGAGGAAUAUUGGUCAAUGGACGCAAGUCUGAACCAGCCAUGCCGCGUGCAGGAAGACGGCUCUAUGAGUUGUAAACCGCUUUUGUACGAGGGUAAACGCAGAUACGCGUCUCUGUCUGAAAGUCUCGUACGAAUAAGGAUCGGCUAACUCCGUGCCAGCAGCCGCGGUAAUACGGAGGAUUCAAGCGUUAUCCGGAUUUAUUGGGUUUAAAGGGUGCGUAGACGGUCGGAUAAGUUAGAGGUGAAAGCGCGAGGCUCAACUUCGGAAUUGCCUUUGAUACUGUUCGGCUAGAGAGUAGGUGCGGUAGGCGGAAUGUAUGGUGUAGCGGUGAAAUGCUUAGAGAUCAGACAGAACACCGAUUGCGAAGGCAGCCUACUAAGCUACUUCUGACGUUGAGGCACGAAAGCGUGGGGAGCAAACAGGAUUAGAUACCCUAGUAGUC